rnacentral:rRNA from 1 species
UACGUAGGGGGCUAGCGUUGUCCGGAAUCAUUGGGCGUAAAGCGCGUGUAGGCGGCUCGAUAAGUCCGCUGUGAAAGCCCGGGGCUCAACCCCGGGAUGCCGGUGGAUACGAGCAAACUAGAGUGUUGCAGGGGAGACUGGAAUUCCUGGUGUAGCGGUGAAAAUGCGCAGAUAUCAGGAGGAACACCGGUGGCGAAGGCGGGUCUCUGGGCAACAACUGACGCUGAGGAGCGAAAGCGUGGGGAGCGAACAGG